AUGCUGGAGACGCCACUGAUUAUGAAAGGCGCAGAGAAUCAUAGUGUAUCAGCGCACUACAAACAUUUUCAUAAUCAGUCCCCCUUAGGUUCAUUAUUUUUAGGCAUCAAAAAGGUUUCAAAAGACUGGAGAGGAGGUAAUUUUAACCAGAAACUUAGCAGAGAGGAAAUGCGUAUGAUUUUUGAAUUUAAUACUCUCAUCCCUUAUGGACUCAACACG